rnacentral:lncRNA from 1 species
ACAUUUGAUAUUUUUGAAGAGACAUUUGUAGCCUGCAUGUUUUCAUGGACGUGCUUGCUCAGCUGUUAAAUUGUUACAACUUGAUUGACGAGGGAAUAUUUGUAAGGAAUAAAAUACAUUUACUGAACCUAUUUUUUUUUUUUUUUUACAACGACGAGUAUCCCUGCAUAUAUUAAAGUGUUUUAUAUUGGUCUGCAAACUGCCUAUGCGAUUAUUCGUAUUUCUUGAUGGGAGACUUUCAUGCAGGCUGUGAAAAAACCUACAGAUGUUUUGGAAACUCUGUCGCUGACUCAGUUCUUAUCUUGGACAAACAAUCAUGGCGCGCCAUGGGCCUAGUUUAGUUUUCCAUUCUGCAAGACUUCCUCCAAUGUUUUUGCUGAAACCCGAUUUUAUGUGUUUACUGUGUCUUUUUUAAAAAGUGGCCAAGGGCAGUUUUUGUCAUUUUUCUCCAGGGAAGGGUGAAUGCAAGCUGACUUAAAAUCACACAUUUGAGUGUUGCCUGAGUUGAAGUAGGCCUCUGAGUUGGAUCAGAGUACAACUGUCAACAGGAGAUGAGUCUGACGACAUGCACAGACAAGCAGAUGCUACUGAAUGCCUCUGAGAGCUGUUCCAAUGCACACAUGGGUCUUCGCUACAUAUGAACAGCGCAAUGAGUCAACGGCCAUCCCUCGUCCCUCAUACACAGAAGACCCCCAGCCCAGAGGCAGUGGCAUCAUCCCAGGAGCCAUUGCAGCAGCAGUGUUCAUUGGUUUCGUACUGGGUCUCUAUGCAGUUCUGUGGAAGUGUAUGGUCUCACCACCCCAAAGGAAGAAGAGGAGGGUGAGGGUUAGAGACAAGAGGAGCCAAGUAUGCUGACUGACCAUCAGGAUCUCAUCUAGGCCAUCUGGCCAGAGGAUCCAAUGGAUUCAACUCAUGCAUCAAACCCCGGCCAGUCAAAUCCACUCAUACUGACUUGAGUCUCUCAUCAGGAUGUUCCUGAACAUCUGAGGGGAAAUUGAGAUUCAGAAACAUUUGCAUAGAGCUAGGGGAUGGCACAUUAUGGAUCUAGCAUAUCAUGGUCAGAGGAUGGACCGGUAUCUAAGGAUCCGGUCAAAUGGAUCUAAAAGGAUUUUCUAAAUUGCCUUAAGAGGAUCCACUCAAAUGGCUAAAGGAUCCAACUGAAGUGCAUCAGAGAGCAUGAACAAACAAUCUAAAUCAGUUAAGCUGGGGUCUGCAGACCCAUCAAAUGUAAAACAAAUUAUAUGUACAUUUAAAAAAAAAUUAUAAUAAUAAUCUAUUACUAACAGGUUAAACACAUUUUUGCAAGGGAUCUGUUGAAGUAGUUUAGAGUGUAAUACAAUAAAAUGUCAUAUUAUUAAUAUACAAUUUAUGUUCUUAAACCCUGGACAUAGUGGGCCUGGGAGGCUCACAGGGAUAUUGGCAUCUACAGUACUCCACCAAUUAUACAUUUUUCAGCUCAAUAACCCAAAGUGUGUGUGUGUGUGUGUGUGUGUGUGUUUUAAACUGAAGUUUUCUUUCUGCCUCAUGGGAAAAUGUGUAGAAUUGCAGAAUAUUUGCCCCAUGACAAAAUAUGUGGAAAUAUAGGAAAUGUCAAGAGGCUGGCCUUUUAAAAGGUUCCUUCCCAGGACCGAGCCUUGGUUCAUCCGGCCAUGCUCUGCCCAAGUCAUAGUAAAACACCUUGUAUGCUAUUUUUCUCACUCAAGUUGUUCUGAUUGAGGUCGUCCCUUAUAUAUUUGCUAUCACAAAAGGGGUCCCCGGGCCCCAAUAGUUUGAGAAAUCUAGGAUCCACUGUAUGCCACAGUGCUAUGCCUCCGUGAGAUGCUGACUUUAACUGAAGCGUAGCUACACUGUUAAGUGUACACUGUUGUGUCUGCGGGUCACUGACAGUUGACAGUGAACUCUCUGUACUACUGAGGAAGGAGGCAGCACAGGUCACUGUUCUUCCUAUCGGUCAACAAGCCUACUGGCCUGGCAAACAUGUGGGUAUGUUUUUUUUUUCUUCUCCGUUUGGGUGAAAGUGUGUGUGUGUGUGUGUGUGUGUGUGUGUGUGUGUAGCUUUUGAUUAGGGUUGACUACAUGUGUUGCAAAGGAAAGUGUCUAUGAAUGGGAAAUUUGCUAAUACUUUUUAUAUUGGGUUGUGCAUGUGAUAUGAUGGCUUUAGGUGAAUGAUUGAGCUGGAGUUUUUGUGUAUUUCAAAUUCUUUGAUUUGAGUGAAUGGUCUUAUGAUAUCCAUGUUUUGUCAUGUUACAUUUCCUCAGGAUGUGACUUACUGUUCCUUUUAUUAAACUGUGAUUUGUGUUCUUGCACUUUUACUGAGUUUUCCUUUUAUCAGAGUUAAAUCUGAAUUACUACUUAGUGUUGGGAUGAAUGUACAUUCACUGAUUAACAAACAAUGCAAAUUAUGUAACGGAAUACUAGGAAAGGAGAGGUUUUAAAAUGAAUCAGCUCUAUCAAAUACUAACACAUUGUGUUACUGGGAGGUCCUGAAGUCAUACAAAACUAGAUGAAUCUAAGGAAUUCAAGUCUUAAGUCCUUUGGGUUUUAUGUAAAUAAUAAACUUGUAAAAUGUUCAAACUGUCCUGUUGUAGUUUUAAUGGAGCGUGGCCCUCAACCACAAUGUCUAUAUUUGGUCUCUGCUGUGUUUAGCACAGUGGGUGCACGGUAUGAGAGGUUCCUGCAGGGCAGUGGGGGAUUCAUCGUGGUGUGGGG